UGGGGAAUAUUGGACAAUGGGCGAAAGCCUGAUCCAGCCAUGCCGCGUGAGUGACGAAGGCCUUAGGGUUGUAAAACUCUUUCGUCGGGGACGAUAAUGACGGUACCCGAAGAAGAAGCUCCGGCUAACUUCGUGCCAGCAGCCGCGGUAAUACGAAGGGAGCUAGCGUUGUUCGGAAUCACUGGGCGUAAAGGGCGCGUAGGCGGCAUGACAAGUCACUUGUGAAAUCUCUGGGCUUAACCCAGAACGGCCAAGUGAUACUGUCGCGCUAGAGUGCAGAAGGGGCAAUCGGAAUUCUUGGUGUAGCGGUGAAAUGCGUAGAUAUCAAGAGGAACACCUGAGGUGAAGACGGGUUGCUGGGCUGACACUGACGCUGAGGCGCGAAAGCCAGGGGAGCAAACGGGAUUAGAUACCCCUGUAGUCCCUGAGCGGGCUGGCAAGGCGCAU
rnacentral:rRNA from 1 species